rnacentral:rRNA from 1 species
AUAAGGGUGUUGCUAGAACAAGUGAGGGAAAAUGUCAUGAUCCAUGCGCAAGUCCUAAGUUUAAAGGAUUAUGAGACACAACUUGUUUAAGUUGGUGUAGUCAAAGGAUCAAGAAGGAUCAAGACCAAGGUCCUAAAGGCACAUAUGAGGCCUGAGUAUGCAGGCUAAGGCCUAGGCUAAGGUUUGACAAAAUGGCAAGGUGAGCAACCUGGUGUCAAGAAUAAGCUAGGUGCAUUAGCAUAAAAGAGUUUAGAGAAGCUUGGAGGCUAGCCUAGUGUGCAAGCACUAAAGUUUCUAAAAUGGCUUGGAGUAGGAACAGUAGUAGGUAUUGUAGUGCCCAGAUAAGGAAGGCUUAGAAAGGCCCUAGUUAUGGGAAGAACAGUGACUAGACGGGGAAGGUUCUAGAACUCAUUAGGCAUAGGCACUUAGCAGGAGUGCCCAGACUCUUCUAGACCUGAGGCUCAGCAGGGAGCUUAGAACAAGCUGGAUUCUACAAAGGCCUUAGCCAAAUUACAACAUGUCUAGGGGCCAUGAAAGGGUCUAAAAGGCUUACAAGAGCCACACACUUAGAUAAAUAAAGGCCAUAUAUGUUAGGAAGGCUCAGGUAUAAAUAAAGGCCUUCCCUCUCAUUUGUAAUUCAUAGAAGAAGCAACAAGAGAAAAGUAAAAGGAACCAAGUCAUAGACUUUGUUAUUAGAGACUUAGGGAUAGACAUAAGAGUCAAUGUAAAAGUAAUUGUACAUAGCAUCAAGUAAAUAGAAAUACAAUUUCUUUAACUCUCUUUCCUAGCUUUCUUCCAAGCUCUUAAGGAGCCAAUGGAGUCCAUAGCACAAGUGUUUAGCAUAGAGUCAGAAAAGAGGCUAUCUUAGGCAUAUGCAUAGUAUUUUCUAGACUAAAGCCACAUGGGUGCUAGAUUUAAGCCCUCAACCUAUGACACCUACUGCUGAUGCUACCCCAAACCCCUAACCUCUUACUAAGUCCCUGAAUCGAGCAAUGGCUCCCUAGGAUGGUGCAAGCAGAAGCUAUGAUCAUAGGCUUGGUCUAGCAAAGUCUUUUAGGUAUUUGGUAGUCUCAUGGGCCUUUCUCGUUGACCACAAAAAUGCCUUUGUCUAGCCAAUCUCGUGCAUGUGUCAUAGGCCAAGGCUUAAGCCUAAGAGUGGAAAAGUCCCAUGUGAAUAACAUUUGCACAUGGGUUAGUCGAUCUUAAGAGAUGAGACAAGCCCAUCUGAUAGUGCAUCCAACAUGAGCUUCGAAAGGAAAUCAACUAGGACAUGAUAGUUGAUGGCAAUGUUAGGUAGUCUAAAGACAUUAGUAGGGGCCUUGGGAAGAGUUAUCUUUUUUGUUUAACAACCUGCCCACCCUAGAAAUGGCUCAAUCAGAUGUAGGGUCCAAUGGCUAGAAAAAGCACUGCAUGUUGCAUAGUGUUCAGUAUGCCCCAACAGGUUUUGAAAAUCUAGAGGACUGAGUGCUAUCUGCACUCGAUGGUACUCAUAAUCGCAUCAGGUCUCUAAAGUGAAUAGCUUCUUGUCAAUGGAAUAGUGUUGGCAAAGGAAGUCAACAAAAUAGAUCUAUAACCUCGAUAAAAGGAUUAGCUUUGGGGGCUAGGCAUAGAGGUCCCAGUCUCAAACCCAUUCGAUGUUGGUGAACUACUUGAACCACUCCCAUGGUUAGAGUGGGUCACUGCGUAUCAGUUGGGGGAUGGUUGGGAAUGGCACCCUCAGGGGCCUUUUUUAAAUGACAAAUAGUUAACUUAAAACUGGUAUAGACAAGGGGAAUUUGACUAUUUAAUUAAAACAAAGCAUUGCGAUGGUCCCUACAGAUGCUCACGUAAUGUGAUUUCUACCAAGUGCUUUGAAUGUCAAAGUGAAAAAAUUCAACCAUGCACAGAUAAAUGGCAGGAGUAACUAUGACUCUUUGAAGGUAACCAAAUGCCUCGUCAACUAAUUAGUGAUGUACAUGAAUGGAUUAAUAAGAUUCCCAUUAUCCCUGUCUACUAUCUAGAGAAACCAUAGCCAAUGGAAUAGCUUGGUAGAAUCAAUAGGAAAGAAGACCUUGUUGAGCUUGACUCUAAUCCAACUUUGUGAAAUGACUUGAGAGGUGUAGGACAAGUGGGAGCCCUCAAGCAAAAUUGAAAUACCACUACUUUUAACAUUAUUUUACCUAUUUGAUGAAUCAAAGGCAAGGCAUGACCCCUUAUUUUAGGCCCAAGGCUAGCCUUGCUCGAUUUAUCAGGGUAAAAGACAAUGUCAGGUGGGUAGAUUGGCUGGGGCAGCACAUUUAUUAAAAGAUAAUGCAAGUGUCCUAAAAUGAACUUAACGAGAAUAGAAAUCUCAUGUGGAACAAAAGUGUAAAAGCUUGUUUGAUUCUAAUUUCUAGUAUGAAUAUGAACUAUGAAAACAUGGCCUAUCAAUCAUUUGAAAUUUGAAGCUAGAGGUGUCAAAAAAGUUAACACAAGGAUAACUAGCUUGUGGUAGCCAAGUGUUCAUAGCGACAUUGCUUUUUGAUCCUUCGAUGUUUGCUUUUUCUAUCAUUGUGAAGCAUAAUUCACCAAAUGUUGGAUUGUUCACGCAGCAAUAGGGAACAUAAGUUGGGUUUAAACUGUCAUGAGAUAGGUUAGUUUUACCUUAUUGAUGGCAGUGUCACAAUAGUAAUUUAACCUAGUAUGAGAAGAACCAUUGAUUCGCACAAUUGGUCAUCGCACUCAAUUAAAAAGCUAGUGGCAUGAAGCUACCAAGCUUUGUAUUAUGACUAAAUGCAUCUAAGUAAGAAUCUAGGCUAGAAGCAAUGCACAUGCCCAUCACUCAAUUGCCAACCUAUAGUAAGGGCCCAUGGACCAUAAGAGCAAAUGUUGUAGGUAUAGCCCUCAUGGCAGACAGGCCAUGCAAGCCUCUUGGAGCUUAAUUCCCAUCGAGCAAUGGGUAGAAUCCUUUGCAAAUGACUUAAAUAUGUAAUAGGGUAUUGUAAGGGGUAGAGUGACCUUGCUACCACAAUCCACUAAGAUUCAGCCCUUUGUCACUUCAAUUCAU